UUCCCAUGGGCGAAAGCUGACGGAGCACGCCGCGUGAGGGAUGAAGGCCUCUGGGCUGUAAACCUCUUUUAUCAAGGAAGAAGAUCUGACGGUACUUGAUGAAUAAGCCACGGCUAAUUCCGUGCCAGCAGCCGCGGUAAUACGGGAGUGGCAAGCGUUAUCCGGAAUUAUUGGGCGUAAAGCGUCCGCAGGCGGUCUUGUAAGUCUGUCGUUAAAGCGUGGAGCUUAACUCCAUUUAAGCGAUGGAAACUGCAAGACUAGAGUGUGGUAGGGGCAGAGGGAAUUCCCGGUGUAGCGGUGAAAUGCGUAGAUAUCGGGAAGAACACCAGUGGCGAAGGCGCUCUGCUGGGCCAUAACUGACGCUCAUGGACGAAAGCCAGGGGAGCGAAAGGGAUUAGAUACCCCUGUAGUCCUGGCCGUAAACGAUGAACACUAGGUGUCGGGGGAAUCGACCCCCUCGGUGUCGUAGCCAACGCGUUAAGUGUUCCGCCUGGGGAGUACGCACGCAAGUGUGAAACUCAAAGGAAUUGACGGGGGCCCGCACAAGCGGUGGAGUAUGUGGUUUAAUUCGAUGCAACGCGAAGAACCUUACCAGGGUUUGACAUCCUGCGAAUCUCUUGGAAACG
rnacentral:rRNA from 1 species